AGCCAGGCGUGGUGAGUCGUACGACGGCGCCGGCGGGGGAGACGUUGUCGGCGGCGUCCCGCGCCCGGACCG
rnacentral:tRNA from 1 species